AUGGCUGUCGUCAGCUCGUGUCGUGAGAUGUUGGGUUAAGUCCCGCAACGAGCGCAACCCCUACUGUGUGUUGUAUCACUCACACGGGACUGCCGAGAGAAACUCGGAGGAAGGUGGGGAUGACGUCAAGUCAGCAUGGCCCUUACGUCUUGGGCUACACCCACGCUACAAUGGCCGGUACAACGGGCUGCGAAACCGCGAGGUGGAGCUAAUCCCUUAAAGCCGGUCUCAGUUCGGAUUGUAGGCUGCAACUCGCCUACAUGAAGCCGGAGUUGCUAGUAACCGCAGGUCAGCAUUACUGCGGUGAAUAUGUUCCCGGGCCUUGUACACACCGCCCGUCACGUCAUGAAAGCUGGCAACACCCGAAGCCGGUGGGCCAACCGCAAGGAGGCAGCCGUCGAAGGUGGGGUUGGUGAUUGGGACGAAGUCGUAACAAGGUAGCCGUACCGGAAGGUGCGGCUGGAUCACCUCCUUUCUAGGGAGAUCCGAGUUCCGACCCUUCGGUGGGGUCGGAGCGUUGAAGGCUCCCAGGUUGAUCGCACGGUCGAUCUGCCGCCCCCGUCAGGUGGGUGGCGCUCGAGCGGUCCGCAAGGAUCACUCGGGGCAGGCCAAGUGCGACCUGGCAAACACCGAAACCCAUUCGAACAUCCCGAACGGACGUUCCUGUCACUCUUCAAGGGUUAAGGGUGCAGCCGCCGGCGGCGAUCGCUUGUCGACCGCUUCGGUCGGCACGGCCCCGGCGGGCGUUUAGCUCAGCUGGUUAGAGCACUGCCCUGAUAAGGCAGAGGUCUCUGGUUCGAGUCCAGAAACGCCCACCACAUUGCCCGCGGCAAGGGGACGUAGCUCAGUUGGCAGAGCAUCUCCUUUGCAAGGAGAGGGUCAGGAGUUCGAGUCUCCUCGUCUCCACCAUCCCGGCAAAUCACACAGCGGAGGGUCAGAUCCUGCGCCAGGCCGCACCUUACCGAUAAUUGAAGACUCCGGGUGGACCCCGGGACGACCGAAACCCGAAGGCGCUGUUCAAUGGACGGCUCCGAGGCAGGUCCUCGAGCCGUCUUUGUGUGUCCAUCUCACUCGCUCCCCUGAUCCGUGAUCUCCACCGGAGCUCACCGACCAGCGGAUCGCUGGAUCACCGCCCGGCAACGGGACGGGAUGCUUGCCGCGAGGCGGGCCGCACCUUAACAACUGGAAUUGUUGUUCGGCAGUAAAUCGAUUUUCGAUUUCGUCGAGUGAUCAAGGAUACGAUCCCGAUCGAUCCCAUCCGCGACUGGCCGCCAGGUCAGAUGCUGGAGGGGGUCAAGCUACAAAGGGCACGGGGUGGAUGCCUUGGCGCCAAGAGCCGAUGAAGGACGUGGCAGGCUGCGUAAAGCUUCGGGGAGUCGCGAGCAGACGUUGAUCCGGAGAUGUCCGAAUGGGGAAACCCGG
rnacentral:sRNA from 1 species